GCCGCUCCAGUCGGCCUCGUGUCUAAGAAGCUGUGGAGUUUGUGCCCUUCACCCUUGCAUUUGUCUGACUGUACCCCCGUGGGGAUUCUGCCCUGCUCACCCGCAGUGCUUCUCUUGGUGGUGCAGAUUCGUGGCUGUUGGUGUGGAGCGUGGCUGGCACUGCUCAGAGUGCCUGAGAGGAAGGAUAGGCACCUUGUGUGGUCUUGCAGACGUGCCAAGGCUGCUAUGCAGCUCUGACUGCAUGGGGGCUGAGGAGGGGGCUUGCAGUGGUGGCCACAGCCAGCAAGGGGCCUUUACUGAAGAGAAAUGAGGAUUCUUGCAUCUAGGUUCAGGUCCAUGGUGGAACAGACCAGACUCAGUGGGGCCCUGAGUUCAUCCUGGUCUGAGAGCAGUGCUGCUUGGGAAUGUAUCAGAAGAUCCAGGACUGGGAACUUCCAUGCUGCCUCCAGCAGGAAAGAAGGUGCCUGUUUCAGAAGCUGACUUUCGAAAAGCUUCAGUGACCAUCCUUCUCUCUUGGUUGAGCUGUGUGAGUGUACCCGGAGAAAUGCGAGAAGCAGAAUUGCUAACUUGGAGAGUCAGGUACAUUUAUAAUCGUUACACCUAUUAUAAAGUCAAUGUCAUGUUUUAAAUUGUCACAUGUAUUGGCU
rnacentral:lncRNA from 1 species